rnacentral:lncRNA from 1 species
GAUAGUGCUGCUCUCGGGUUUGGGCUGAGAGAUGCUGAGUACCGGUACUGAGUUGCCGAGUACCGGUACUGGAGUCGAGUACUGGUACGGCAUCGAGCGGGUACCAGUACGUCGUAGUCUGAACGCUUGACCGAGGCUCGAGUUGAGCAGAUUUUGGUGUGGGGUACCGGUACUCCUUCCUGAGUACCGGUACGCAGUGUGGAAAACUGCAGCUCGUGCAAUUUGUAAAUUUUAAGUUUUGAGGGGCUUGAGUGGAUAUUGUUACAAUGUGUUUAAAUAA